rnacentral:rRNA from 1 species
UACAUGGGGUGCAACCGUUGCUCGGAAUUAUUGGGCGUAAAGAGCGCGCAGGCGGUCGUUCAAGUCGAGUGUGAAAGCCCCCGGCUCAACUGGGGAGGGUCACUCGAUACUGAUCGACUUGAAGGCAGGAGAGGGAAGCGGAAUUCCCGGUGUAGUGGUGAAAUGCGUAGAUAUCGGGAGGAACACCAGUGGCGAAGGCGGCUUCCUGGCCUGUUCUUGACGCUGAGGCGCGAAAGCUAGGGGAGCAAACGGG